ACGGUCCUAAGGUAGCGAAAUUCCUUGUCGGGUAAGUUCCGACCUGCACGAAUGGCAUAACGAUGGCCACACUGUCUCCUCCCGAGACUCAGUGAAGUUGAAAUGUUUGUGAUGAUGCAAUCUACCCGCGGCUAGACGGAAAGACCCCAUGAACCUUUACUGCAGCUUUGCAUUGAACUGUGAACCGAUUUGUGUAGGAUAGGUGGGAGGCAGAGAAGAGGCCACGCCAGUGGCCUUGGAGCCGACCUUGAAAUACCACCCUGAUUUGUUUGCGGUUCUAACCACGGACAGUGAUCCUGUCUUGGGACCGUGCAUGGUAGGCAGUUUGACUGGGGCGGUCGCCUCCUAAAGGGUAACGGAGGAGUACGAAGGUACGCUAGGUACGGUCGGAAAUCGUGCUGAUAGUGCAAUGGCAAAAGCGUGCUUGACUGCGAGAGCAACAACUCGAGCAGAUGCGAAAGCAGGCCCAAGUGAUCCGGCGGUAGAAAGUGGAAUUGCCGUCGCUCAACGGAUAAAAGGUACCUUAGGGAUAACAGGCUGAUCACGCCCAAGAGUUCAUAUCGACGGCGGUGUUUGGCACCUCGAUGUCGGCUCAUCGCAUCCUGGGGCUGUAGUCGGUCCCAAGGGUAUGGCUGUUCGCCAUUUAAAGAGGUACGUGAGCUGGGUUUAAAACGUCGUGAGACAGUUUGGUCCCUAUCUGCCGUGGGCGUUGGAAGAUUGACGGGGGCUGCUCCUAGUACGAGAGGACCGGAGUGGACGCACCUCUGGUGUACCGGUUGUCACGCCAGUGGCAUUGCCGGGUAGCUAAGUGCGGAAGAGAUAACCGCUGAAAGCAUCUAAGCGGGAAACUUGCCUGAAGAUGAGUCUUCCCGGAGGUUGAACCUCCCUCAAGAGUCGUCCGAGACCAGGACGUCGAUAGGUCAGGUGUGUAAGCGCUGUAAGGCGUUGAGCUAACUGAUACUAAUUGCUCGUGAGGCUUGAUCCU
rnacentral:rRNA from 1 species